rnacentral:rRNA from 1 species
ACACGGUCCAGAUCUUUUAGGGAAGGCAGCAGUGAGGAAUAUUUGUCAAUGGGCGAAAGUCUGGAGACUAGCCAUCCCGCUGUGCAGGAAUAAGGUCCUUAGGAGUCGUGAAACUGCUUUUGUAACUACUGGAAAUCAUUCUACGUGUAGAGUGCUAGACGUAAGGUUCACGAAUAAGAAUCGGCUAACUCCGU